rnacentral:rRNA from 1 species
AGGAUAAACGCUGGCGGCGUGCCUAACACAUGCAAGUCGAACGUCUCUUCUUUCGGGAAGAGGAGUGGCGGACGGGUGAGGAACACGUGGGAACCUGCCCUUUAGUGAGGAAUACCGGCGAGAAAUCGCCGACAAGACCGCAUAGCCCUCUUUGAUGAGAGUCAAAGAAGGAAAGCUUCGCAAGAGGCGCUAGAGGAGGGGCCUGCGUCCGAUUAGCUAGUUGGUGGGGUAAGAGCCUACCAAGGCGUCGAUCGGUAGCUGGUCUGAGAGGACGAUCAGCCACACUGGGAUUGAGAACGGCCCAGACUCCUACGGGGGCAGCAGUGAGGAAUUUUCGGCAAUGGGGGAAACCCUGACCGAGCAACGCCGCGUGCAGGAAGACGGCCUUCGGUUGUAACUGCUUUUCUUGGGACGAGAACGGACGGUACCAGAGGAAUCAGCCCGGCUCACUACGUGCCAGCAGCCGC